rnacentral:rRNA from 1 species
CCUACGGGGGGCUGCAGUGGGGAAUUUUGCGCAAUGGGCGAAAGCCUGACGCAGCAACGCCGCGUGUGUGAUGAAGGUCUUUGGAUUGUAAAGCACUUUCGACCGGGAAGAAAACCCGUUGGCUAACAUCCAACGGCUUGACGGUACCGGGAGAAGAAGCACCGGCUAACUCUGUGCCAGCAGCCGCGGUAAUACAGAGGGUGCAAGCGUUGUCCGGAAUUGUUGGGCGGAAGGCGCGUGUAGGCGGCGUGAAAGCCCUCAGCUCAACUGAGGAAGUGCGCCCGAAACUGUCGUGCUUGAGUGCCGGAGAGGGUGGCGGAAUUCCCCAAGUAGAGGUGAAAUUCGUAGAUAUGGGGAGGAACACCGGUGGCGAAGGCGGCCACCUGGACGGCAACUGACGCUGAGACGCGAAAGCGUGGGGAGCAAACAGGAUUAGAUACCCGUGUAGUC